UACGUAGGGCGCAAGCGUUAUCCGGAAUUAUUGGGCGUAAAGAGCUCGUAGGCGGUCUGUCGCGUCGGUCGUGAAAACUUGGGGCUUAACCCUGAGCUUGCGGUCGAUACGGGCAUGACUGGAGUUCGGCAGGGGAGACUGGAAUUCCUGGUGUAGCGGUGAAAUGCGCAGAUAUCAGGAGGAACACCGGUGGCGAAGGCGGGUCUCUGGGCCGACACUGACGCUGAGGCGCGAAAGCCAGGGGAGCGAACGGG
rnacentral:rRNA from 1 species